rnacentral:rRNA from 1 species
AGAGUUUGAUCAUGGCUCAGAACGAACGCUGGCGGCGUGGAUAAGACAUGCAAGUCGGACGAGAUUUUUCGUUGUAGCAAUACGAUGGAAAAUUUAGUGGCGAACGGGUGCUUAACACGUGGGCAACCUGCCAGGAAGUGGGGGACAGCUCGCCGAAAGGCGGAUUAAUACCGCAUGUGAUUAGAGAGGACAUCCUUUCGAAAUUAAAGUCGGGGCAACCUGACGCUUCUUGUGGGGCCCGCGGCCUAUCAGCUAGUUGGUGAGGUAACGGCUCACCAAGGCUUUGACGGGUAGCUGGUCUGAGAGGACGACCAGCCACACUGGGACUGAGACACGGCCCAGACACCUACGGGUGGCAGCAGUCGAGAAUUUUUGACAAUGGGGGAAACCCUGAUCGAGCGACGCCGCGUGGAGGAUGAAGGUCUUCGGAUUGUAAAUUCCUGUCAUUGGGGAACAAUGCACAGAUAUUAACUGUAUUUGUGUUGAUAGUACCCGAAGAGGAAGAGACGGCUAACUCUGUGCCAGCAGCCGCGGUAAUACAGAGGUCUCAAGCGUUGUUCGGAUUCAUUGGGCGUAAAGGGUGCGUAGGCGGCGCGGUAAGUCGGGUGUGAAAUCUCGGAGCUUAACUCCGAAACUGCAUUCGAUACUGCCGUGCUUGAGGACUGGAGAGGAGACUGGAAUUUACGGUGUAGCGGUGAAAUGCGUAGAUAUCGUAAGGAAGACCAGUGGCGAAGGCGGGUCUCUGGACAGUUCCUGACGCUGAGGCACGAAGGUCAGGGGAGCAAACGGGAUUAGAUACCCCAGUAGUCC